rnacentral:sRNA from 1 species
GCUGGAUGCAGUGGCGCUCGCCUGUAAUCCCAGCAGCUCGGGAGGCUGAGACAGGAGGAUUGUGAGUUCAAAGCCAGCCUCAGCAAAAGUGAGGCACUAAGCAAGUCAGUGAGACCCUGACUCUA